AUGCAAUGCUGCCCUGGAAAGGGCUACACCUUCAUAAUUAACACAAUAUCCAAUCACACACAGUACAACCCCCACGUCUCCUCCCCUCAGAUAAACAUUUAACAUAAUUAUAACACAAUUUUACCCAAGUUCUGGAUGUACCCCAAAACCAGGGAGUACACCCUUAAAUCCAGUAUCCUCAGAUAGCUCUUGUUCAGGGGGACAACAUAUCAAAAAUCCAGCCCAUUCGGUUAAAGCGUUCGGGAGUUAUGGGUCUUUGAAGUUUUGACCGACCGCACAGACUUUUUAGCCGAAAAUAGUUCCACAAGUUUUGGCCUUGCGGUUGGUCCCCGUUCGUGCAUUGAAAACCUACGAAAAUCUUUCCGUCCACAGCUAUCUUGGCGUUCGCCGGAAUCCCCAUGCAUGGUUUAGUCUUUCUACCGAACGGCCAGCUGUUCAGUAGUUUCAGCACGAAUCUACGUUGUCACGGAGGUCUCAGCGGUAUUCGACUGUUUGCGUAUCCGUUUUUAGUUCCACACGAUUGAUGGCAAAACACAGCUGUUCGUGCG